rnacentral:snRNA from 1 species
GUGUUAGCUUCAGCAGCACAGAUACUAAAAUCAGAAUGUACAGAGAAGGUUAGCAUGGCCCCUGGGCAAGGAUGACCAGCGACUCUGGGCAGUGUUACAUGUUUUU